rnacentral:other from 1 species
AUAACCCUACGAGGUACGAAUCACUUGAGUUUUAUUUAGAACCAACAUUCUAAGAUUUGGGAGUCUGGACUCUUGAUAUGGUGUGCAUGCUUACAUUUAUGUAAGAAGCCCGGUAGUAUUAAGGAGGACACCCACCUGUGUAAGCAGGCUCUUAAAUUCGCUCAUAUGAACGGCUUAUGUGGGGUUUUA